rnacentral:tRNA from 1 species
ACAACAGAAGCUUCCCACUUUAAGCAGUUUAUUGAAGAUAAAAAGAUCUAGACAU